UACAGAGGGUGCGAGCGUUAAUCGGAAUUACUGGGCGUAAAGCGUGCGUAGACGGUCAAAGUAAGUCGGGUGUGAAAGCCCCGGGCUCAACCUGGGAAUUGCAUUCGAGACUGCGUGGCUAGGGUGCGGAAGAGGGAAGCGGAAUUUCCGGUGUAGCGGUGAAAUGCGUAGAUAUCGGAAGGAACACCAGUGGCGAAAGCGGA
rnacentral:rRNA from 1 species